UGGGUAACCUGCCCUUCACUCUGGGAUAACUCCGGGAAACCGGGGCUAAUACUGGAUAUGACUCGAACAGGCAUCUGUUUCGGGUGGAAAGAUUUAUUGGUGGAGGAUGGACUCGCGGCCUAUCAGCUUGUUGGUGAGGUAAUGGCUCACCAAGGCGACGGACGGGUAGCCGGCCUGAGAGGGCGAUCGGCCACACGUGGGACUGAGACACGGCCCAGACCUCCGUACGGGAGCA
rnacentral:rRNA from 1 species